CUGUUCGAGCGUCAUUACAACCCUCAAGCUUUGCUUGGUAUUGGGCAUUGCCGGUUUCUGGCAGGCCUUAAAAUCAGUGGCGGUGCAUUCGGCUUCAAGCGUAGUAAUUUUUCUCGCUUUGGAGACCCGUCUGGUUACUAGCAACAACCCCAAUUUUUCAGGUUGACCUCGGAUCAGGUAGGGAUACCCGCUGAACUUAG
rnacentral:misc_RNA from 1 species